AGAUCUAAUACCUAUUAUAAACACAUUCGUCCUUUCAUAUAAUUUUCCUGUUGCUCCGUAGUUACGUUCCCUAGAAGACAGGGAAUGGAAUGUUUUCUUCAGGAAAGAAUAAAUUCAUACUGUAGGUGUUAGUGCAGCUGCCUCUAUGGUAAUGAUGAAUGGUGAAUAUUGCCUAAUCUUCUGCCUGUGACUUUAUAUUGACAUCCCCUAUAUGCAGCAUGCCUGCUAACCUUUGAUUAAGAUUUUCUGUUCUGUUUCUGAAGUUGAUGGUGCUAAACUGGAGUAUGAACUGAUGGCUGGAGAGUAUGGUUUGGUUGUUAGAGUGAAUGGAUACAAUCAUAAGCUACUUGGAAGUCCUAGCAUCACCCUCAGCAAAGCUCAACAAAUCAUACCUUGAGCACUGUUUUCUACAUUAGUCAAAGGCCUAGAAUGCUUAGGUUUACGUUGGAAUUCAUUAAUUCAUAGUUCUGUGUGGUUAAUUUUAGGGUGCUGGUAGAAAAGAAGGCAGUCAUCUUGUUCUUCCUGUCUUGUCGUAACAUGGUGGCUUAAGGAGCCUGUCUUUUCAUCAGAAAUUUACCAUGCACUUCUUUGCGUGCUGAACAUAGAGAAUGCCAGCUCAAUAAUUAUAUGUGAGUUCAAUUCUCAAACUGCCAAAUAUUUUUGCUUUAUACUGAGUAACAGAACUAACGAUCGGGUGCCAAAGCUGUCGUGAAUUCAAGAAUUAAAAUAGUUAUCCUGCAUGUAUUUUUUCUUAGUUACUUGCAUUUCUUCUGUCAGCAGCACCUGUGUGCGUACUGUGAGGUUCAAAUUUGUUCUUAGAAGAUGAACAAAUGUUCAGAGCAAGUGUCAGCUGUGUCAAUCCCCUCCCACAGCUCACGUCCAGCUGCUUUGUUUCUUUCUAAUUGCCAGUGGUCUCACUCACACAUCAUGCUCUUUCUUCAUUGGUUCUUCUCAGUCUCUCUGGAAGGACGUGUUGUUUUUGACUGUCGUUCAGACUACUUUUGUUAGUUUCUUAAAAAAUAAAGCUGAGAAGGAGAGAUACUCAAUGCCUGCUGCUGCUCAGGUAAGGGUAAGUAGAUGAAAUUAACAUCGCAUGAGAUUGGUGUUAACCAACAAAAUUUGAUUUGGAAAGGAUAGCUUACUUGAGUUACAGCUUCUUUACAGCUGAAAAGAGCAAGAGAUGCCUGGAAUCUUCUUCAGCAGAUCAGUGGAAACCACCUUGCUUAAUCUUUUGAGGAAAAGACAGUAGCCAGUACUGGGUCCUGAUGUGCUAGCUGAGAAAUCCCAGGAAAUGAUCAGUUGCCAGAUGUUGCAGUAACACAGCUUCAAAGUUGAAACCUCUGCUGUUGUCGUCAUAAUCCACAAGUGUCAAACUUUGACUGCAUGAAGCUGGCACUGCAGGACUUGUGGAUACCUUUGUUAACCUGUGUGCUGUUCCCAGGGCAUCCAAAGCAACUGCAGCUGCCUCUGAAGUGCUCCUGUUGUAGCUGUUUGGGCACCAGCACCAGCAAAAUACCACUGAAUUCCAGGAAUCAGCUAUUGGUAGAGCUGUGAGUUUUGAACCUUGUCUCACACUCUGUUAUGUCAGAUCUUCCACAGUGCAGGCAUUCGCUUUGAUGACAGCUGCUGCACUUCAAUGAAUUCCACUUAUGCUGAACUAAGACACUGCCCCCCAGUACCUCCUAAAUUGAGACUCUCAAUGAAGAAAAGAGUGGGGAAAGGAUCCAGAAGAAACCAUCAGGAAGCAGUUCAUUUAGUAGCUCAAAUAAAUCUGAUUUAAGGACACGAGAGACACGUCUUACCUUUGGGCUGCUUUAAUUCAUGAAAUACAACGAUGUCGUGAGGAUUAUUGAGAUUUUCUGCUAAAACAGAGAUGUCCAAGCCACUCAGCCUGUUGGCACUGAAGAUUGCUUCAUUCUCCAGCAGCUGCCAUGCAGAGAUUUACCUGAACCAGCUCUGUGAAGCACCUCAGCAGUCCUAUGUAAGCUCUUACAGAGGCCCUUAUCUUUAGACAUUGAAACAGACUUUCUCUGAGGCACGGUCCCAUUCAACAGCUCUUGCAGCCCCUCUGUGAAUCCUGACAGAACAACAAAAUAGGAGUCUGGAAUACACCUAAUGCUGCUGGGCUGAGCACCCGGCCAUGCCUUGGGGCACAAAUGCUCCUUGGCAGACAGGUGCUGCACAGACAACUUGCAACAAAACCCUGCCUGAAAACACAACCCAGAGGGGCUGCCCUCCCCACCAAAGGAGAAUCCCCAGCCCUGCCCACACUCACGGCAGUCCUGCUCAUCAGACUUGUCCUUGCAGUCUUCGUCCCCAUCACACUUCCAGUUAAGGAGGAUGCAUUCGCCAUUGCCACACUGGAACUCGUGAGCAGCACAGGUGUUGAAGGCCUUGGCAUCGUAGCCACACCUCUCUACAGACUCAUCUGAAUGGUCCUCACAGUCUGCCUGGUUGUCACAGACCCACAGCUCUGGGAUGCACACGCUGUUGUUGCACUGGAACUCAUUGGGGCUGCAGGUCAGAGGGGAGCAUUUCCUUUCAUCGCUGCCAUCACCACAGUUGUUGUAACCAUCACACACGAAGUUGAUGGAGAUGCACGUCUUGUUACUGCACUGGAACUCAUCAGGAGAACAAGCUUGGGAAAAAAAAACAAAACAGAAAUAAAAUGAGCUGCUAAUCCUACUGAUCAGCACGUGGCUGUAUGAUUUCUUCAAGUGAUGAAUAAGAUGGAGCUACCAAAUGGAAAACUGAGCUAAAAUCCACAGGGCAUGCAAGGAUAAAGCAAAGUCUGCACCUUCCAGGCACUUGGGGACUUGCUCAAAUGGGCAGCAGAAGAGGAAAGCUGCUUACAAUCCCUGCACACCGAUGCAAGAGCCAACGUGUUCCUUGGGACCUCCUCUGCACCGUCUGAAGAACCUAAUAAAAAGCAGUGCUAAAAUUACCUUACAUAGGCAGCUGGAGAGAUGAGGAUGGGGGAAGUAAAGUCCCAGGGACAGCUUGCUUCACAUCUCCUUUCAUAAAUCUGUCAAGGUACCGGGGCAGUCCCAACACUACAGCAUUUCACUGCCUCCAGAGCAUUUUGAUAGAAAUGUCUUGAAUAAUAAUUAAAUGAGCACCAGGGUAUCUUUUCUUUGACGUGAGCAAUUUGCUUAUAUUCUCUGGUUCUUCUACCUGUUCUAUUAAGAGUAUGUCUGUAUGAAACAGAGGAUACAAAUAUUAGCCUUCCUCACUGCCAAAGAAAUUAAUAAAUGUCAUACCCUCAGAUGCAAAGUCUCCUUCAAGUAUGAAGUGAUCCCAGUAGAAAUACUAGAAACGUUUGGCAAGAAGAAGAGUUUUAACUCACUGGCUUCAAAGCAGUAAAUAAGCAUAAUUACAAAAGCCAUUUUGUAGGGUACAACAAUCCAUUAAGAUUCUUCAGGUGAUUUAGGAAGAAAACAUCACAUCUCAAUGAAUGCACACUUGCUUUGGCUUAUAGAGAACGUAUAGCAGAGGUACUCUGCAUUAGUUGCUGCCCUGUGCUAUAGUGCAACUGGCACAGCUUUUGCUGGGCAGCCCCCAGCUGCAGCCCUGUCACAUCUCCUGGAGGGUGGAGCAGCAGCAGCCUUUGGUUGGAGGAAGAGGCUGUGGUUGUGCAGUUGUGUUUUGGUUCUGUUUCUCUGCCCUGAGCCAGCAUUUAAGCAGAGGCUUUAAUGAGCGCUCCAGUACAGCAGCAACAAUCCUAGCUCACCAAAAAACGGAGAUAACUCUACCAGAAGCUUUUAAAGUGCUUAUAAAGAAAAGCAAAAUGCUGUAAAGACACAGGGCACACUUUAAGAACUGUAAUUUCAAAUAAAUCUCUGUAAUUCUACAAAGCGGAUCCUCAAAUCUGGAUAAAACUCCAUGUGUGACAUAAGCAGGAUAUCCAUCAUUAGUAGGAGCUGGGAAUGGUGUACAAUGGACUGCAACUGCUUCCGCUGCUAGCUUAAAUUAAGGAUUUGAAGCUUUUCAGUAAGAAUCUGAUAUUUUAAUACACUUUUUUUGUCAAAAAAAAAAAAAAGCAACUUAGCUCCUCUUGAAAUUAUACACAUGACUUGGAGAAAUAGAACUAUUUGGUAAAGUUUGUGGCAAAGUGGAUGACAGCAAUUACUGACACCAAAGAGAAGAAAAUAAGACAGAUGAUGGCACUGCAGCUUUCCCACACCCUUCCUGAGGCAACCAAAAAGAAACACAGUUCUUGUUUGCUUAAAUCCAACAGCGGAUUUUCUCAGGAAGGCAAGGGGUGAUUUGCACACACUAACAUUCGCAGUGGGGAAAGAGAGAUCUGCUGCUGAUUUAUCACAACUUGAACACUGGCCAGAGAAGCUGUGGACUCGGAAAGCCUUAAGCUGUGAGGUUUAGAAGUGAGCUCCAUCCACACGGCUGCGGCAGCGCAGUGCCUGAGCUCCAUGUGCCCAGGUACUGUGCAUAAAGACCUAAUCCUGCCGCCACAGCCCACAUACAUUAAUCUCCAAGCAGGACUGAGAUAAGGAGGUCACGGAGCCCAGACUGAAUUAAGUUGGAACUCCCAGCCCAGCUACCAACGCUGUCAGUGCAUUAGUUUGACUGAACUAGGAUUUAUUUCCAAGCUUCCGUGUACCUAUAUUGCUUGCUUUGUCUGCUGAAAUCGGUGCGGUUACCAAGCACCUGAAUAUCUGACACAGAUCUCAGGUCAAAUGUCAGCCUUUAAAGCACGGGUUCAUCCCUGGAAGGCCAAGUUUCCCAUGGAAAGCCGCCCUCCAGGAAGGGCAGGGACAGACAGAGGUAAAUGAAGACGACCUUGAAGCGCAUUGCUGGAAGAGCUGACAGGCCUCCCAUGGAGGGAAUAAUGCGGCUGAAUUGCAGUCUCACUGCUAACGGUGGUUGUUGCUAUGGUGAUUGAUACCGAAAAGCCCAUAUAGAUGAAGGCUGCAGAAGGAAUAAGUAAUUCCUGAUAUUGUUCAAAUCACUAAUGGAGCUAAGGAGCCAUUUCACGCACUCCUGCAAAUUAAGAUUUGCAUGCACUCGCUGCCUUCGCCACGCUGCUCCCCUCAAACACCAAGGAGUUAUUUUCCCCUUCACCAUGAUGGUAUUUGCGUAGUAUUGCUUCAUUACAAGGGAGCAACCAGAUGCCAAAGCUCCUGCUGACACAUAACCAGUGGUUCAGAAAUGUAUUUACUGUUACAGAAUAUAUAUUUCUGGACAAUCGUAUCUUCAUUCAAAGUGCUUUUCUGAAAGUAGAAUUAAUUAUGAGUUCAUAAUUUAUGAAUAGAAGCAGCUUAUGUAAAAAAGAUUUGCAUGCUCUGAACUUUCCCCAUUUAUAAUGUCAUUUGGGUGCAACGAGGCUGCAGAACUCAUUCCUUCAGACUCCUCAAUUUCACUCCCUACUGGAAAAGCGUGAGGAAGUUUAUCACAGGUUUUUCUGGUUAAAUGACAUCACAGUAAGAAGCGACAUCACCAGUAAGAGUCUGGUGUAGAGGAUUUAGGGGCAAAAUAAAGCGGCUUAGGGAAAAAAGGGAUGGUCAGAAUACCAAAGGUAUUGAGCAAAGGUAACCUUUGCUCAAAUCACAGCCACCCCACAGGGAUCUUGUGAGGAUAAAGACCUAUCAUUACUCCUUUAUAUUCUGAUUGAGAUGCAAUCAGCUGAAUCUGAACGGAGAUGUUUUGUACUUGCCAAAUUUAAAUGGAAAAAAAUAA